AAAAACAAGAUUUCACAGCAUCUAGACAUCCUCCGCUGAGUGAUGGGGCUAUUGCGUGGGCCGGGGACGCAGGCUGAACCGUGGCAGCACCUCUGCAUUGCCUUUUCCGCUCUGUAAAAAAAACGACCUCAACCUUUGUAUCCACCUGAUCCUUUGAACUGGGCCGCAUUUAUAAAACGGUGUUGUGAUUAACUCGGUUCUCAGAGAUGCAUUUAGAUGAAGGAAUUCUGUGUUGGUUCUUGGGUCAUGCACACGUUUGAAGAAGUGGGAGACCAACGGUGGCCACUUGAAUGUGAAAUGGUAAUUCCCUGAUCACUGGCGUCGUGUGUAGAAUGUCCGAUAAGAGGACUGCAACUCAUUCACGUGCUCCCAGAUUCUGGAGGCACUUGUAAUUAGCAUUCUCUAUGGAGGGGGUAGCUGUGCUUCAGUUCUUAUGAAUUCCAAUUCGGCACGUUUUUUUUUUCUUCACCCUGGAAUAUGGAAAUGUCCCGCUCUCAACACACUGUGUCCCACAAGUAUAACUUGUGCAGCCUCUUUAAUUCAGAACUAUGAUCUGCGCACCUCCUUGCUGGCGUGUGGGGUCUUUCAUCGGCCAAAAGGCCGAGGCAGCAAGAGUUACAGGAUAGAACGUUGUGGCCUACGCAGCGCUGACGGGCUGUAAACGUGUGUGAGGCGAGUCCAAUUCAAUCCAUCUAAUUUUGUAUGUACUAAAAAAGGCCCCGUUUGAAAACGUCCUUUUGUGAUUUCCAUUCAUUAUUUGUACAUGUUGGGAACUUUCGAUAGGAGUCCUAAAACAACAUGGGUAAAUGCAGGAAGGAGAUGAAUGGACGCAAAGUAAUCCAGUGGUGGAAGAUGGCUGUUCUGAUUUAAAAAGGUUUGGCUACCUAAUUGCAACUCCAUUUAAAAUCCCAAAAGCUUCCUUUCUUCAUUUUGGCACUGUGUCCUCAUGACUGCCGAUAAAGGCUUGUAAGGCGUAACGUAAUGCAAACCGUCAUAUUGGUUGAGUCUAACUCGUGAUGUCAUACACAGGGAAGUGAAAGGUCCAAUGGUAGGAUAAAGCAUCAAUAACCAGUUCCAUCAGCUGGCCGCUUAAGAGACUCUUCAUGUCUUUACAAAAUCAAGUAUGUCAAAUGUCCAAAGUUUAAAAAAAAAAAAAAGAAAUGUCACUGUGGAUCUCAACUUGUUUCUGUAAGAGAAUAUCACAAGCUAACAGCAUGAGUGAGUGACCGGAGGAGGGGUUGAUGGGCAUUAAACCAGAGACGCAUGUUGCUGUGAAGGAAGGGGGCGGGACCACGUCUCAGGACCUCCAAGUGAGAUCUGCUGAGCUCGGACGCAAGAGGUGGUCGUGGCCGGGUCAGGAGUAAGAGGAGUGUGUUCUGUUCUCUCCCCCCACUCGGUUAAGAUGUCUCAAGAUGAGCUGUUCUGGCCAGCAGCAGUACAAACACUAAAAGCAAAGCUUUCUUUUCCAACCCAAAAAAAAGCAUAAACAUAAAAAAAUGGCAGGAUUGUCUGUGUGGCGGUGAGGGAUGCGAGGACUGAUGGAGCAAGCGAGCGGGUGGGCGGCGGGGACUGAAGAAGGUGGGACAGGUGUGUGUGUGUGUGUGUGUUUGUGUGUGUGUUAACCUCGGGGUUCUCCUGUCCCGUGCACUCUGUGUUGGCUACAUUGGCACACGUUAGUGGCUCGUGGUCGUUCCUUCAAUGUAUGGUCCUGUCUCCUCUGCGUUCAUCUUCCAUCCAUCCACUCAUCCUAUCUAGCCAGCCGUAUUCUCCUCCGUGGAGACGCGUGGACCCGGCCGUGAAAAAU
ensembl:lncRNA